rnacentral:rRNA from 1 species
CCUACGGGCGGCAGCAGUGGGGAAUAUUGGACAAUGGGGGGAACCCUGAUCCAGCCAUGCCGCGUGUGUGAAGAAGGCCCUCGGGUUGUAAAGCACUUUCAGUGAGGAAGAACGCCUGGUGGUUAAUACCCAUCAGGAAAGACAUCACUCACAGAAGAAGCACCGGCUAACUCCGUGCCAGCAGCCGCGGUAAUACGGAGGGUGCGAGCGUUAAUCGGAAUUACUGGGCGUAAAGCACGCGUAGGUGGCUUGAUAAGCCGGUUGUGAAAGCCCCGGGCUCAACCUGGGAACGGCAUCCGGAACUGUCAAGCUAGAGUGCAGGAGAGGAAGGUAGAAUUCCCGGUGUAGCGGUGAAAUGCGUAGAGAUCGGGAGGAAUACCAGUGGCGAAGGCGGCCUUCUGGACUGACACUGACACUGAGGUGCGAAAGCGUGGGUAGCAAACAGGAUUAGAUACCCUUGUAGUC